GGGAAAUUGGACAAUGGGGGCAACCCUGAUCCAGCCAUGCCGCGUGUGUGAAGAAGGCCUUCGGGUUGUAAAGCACUUUCAGUGGUGAGGAAGGCUUGCAAGUUAAUAGCUUGCGAGAUUGACGUUAGCCACAGAAGAAGCACCGGCUAACUCCGUGCCAGCAGCCGCGGUAAUACGGAGGGUGCGAGCGUUAAUCGGAAUUACUGGGCGUAAAGCGCACGUAGGCGGUUUGUUAAGCAAGAUGUGAAAGCCCCGGGCUCAACCUGGGAAUUGCAUUUUGAACUGGCAGGCUAGAGUUUUGAAGAGGGUGGUAGAAUUUCCUGUGUAGCGGUGAAAUGCGUAGAUAUAGGAAGGAAUACCAGUGGCGAAGGCGGCCACCUGGUCAAAAACUGACGCUGAGGAGCGAAAGCGUGGGGAGCAAACAGGAUUAGAUACCCUGGUAGUCCACGCUGUAAACGAUGUCAACUAGUUGUUCGUUUCAUAAAUGAAGUGAGUAACGCAGCUAACGCACUAAGUUGACCGCCUGGGGAGUACGGCCGCAAGGUU
rnacentral:rRNA from 1 species